CAACCAUCAAGCCCAGCUUGGUCUUGGACGCGGUCGAGUGACCCGUCCGCAACCCGUUGGCGGUGCAGUCCGGCUUCAAGCGUAGCAGAAUUUUCGCUUCAGGAGUCCGCGGCGGCGCCCGCCAGGUAACGGCCACCUCAAA
rnacentral:misc_RNA from 1 species